UACGUAGGGUGCGAGCGUUGUCCGGAAUUACUGGGCGUAAAGAGCUCGUAGGUGGUUUGUCGCGUUGUUCGUGAAAACCUGAGGCUUAACCUUGGGCGUGCGGGCGAUACGGGCAGACUGGAGUACUGCAGGGGAGACUGGAAUUCCUGGUGUAGCGGUGGAAUGCGCAGAUAUCAGGAGGAACACCGGUGGCGAAGGCGGGUCUCUGGGCAGUAACUGACGCUGAGGAGCGAAAGCGUGGGGAGCGAACGGG
rnacentral:rRNA from 1 species